rnacentral:rRNA from 1 species
UGCAUAUCAAUAAGCGGAGGAAAAGAAACCAACAAGGGAUUGCCCCAGUAACGGCGAGUGAAGCGGCAAAAGCUCAAAUUUGAAAUCCCGCGGGAAUUGUAAUUUGAAGGCCCCGAUCGACAUUUCCGCCCAAGUCCAUUGGAACAUGGCGCCCCAGAGGGUGAGAGCCCCGUGGGGCGGAACGUCAUUUUGAUCAGGCGCCGACGAGUCGAGUUGUUUGGGAAUGCAGCUCAAAGUGGGUGGUAAAUUCCAUCUAAAGCUAAAUAUUGGCGAGAGACCGAUAGCGAACAAGUACAGUGAUGGAAAGAUGAAAAGCACUUUGAAAAGAGAGUGAAACAGCACGUGAAAUUGUUGGAAGGGAAGGGCUUGCAAGCAGACACGGCCUUUUUUUUGGCCGGGCCAGCAUCGGUUGUGCGGGGCGGACAAUUCGUCGGGAACGUGGCUCUCGCCUUCGGGCGGGAGUGUUAUAGCCCGGCGCGAUACGCCCACACGCGACCGAGGCCUGCGGAGUAAUCCUAGGAUGCUGGCGUAAUGGUUGCAAGCCGCCCGUCUUGAAACACCGGACCA